AUUGAACGCUGGCGGCAGGCCUAACACAUGCAAGUCGAACGAGUGGCGGACGGGUGAGAAAUGUGUGGGAAACUGCCUGAUGGCGGGGGAUAACUCCGGGAAACGGUAGCUAAUACGGCAUACCUGCGGAUGUGACCAGAUGGGAUUCGCGAGUAGGUGGGGUAAAGGCUCACCUCGGCGACGAUCCCUAGCUGGUCUGAGAGGAUGACGGGCCACACUGGAACUGAGACACGGUCCAGACUCCUACGGGAGGCAGCAGUGGGGAAUCUUGCACAAUGGGCGCAAGCCUGAUGCAGCCAUGCCGCGUGUAUGAAGAAGGCCUGCGGGUUGUAAAGUACUUUCAGCGGGGAGGCGUUACCCGCAGAGGAAGCCCCGGCUAACUCCGUGCCAGCAGCCGCGGUAAUAC
rnacentral:rRNA from 1 species